GAUACCAGCAGGACUUUCUUCAUCACUUCUUGCUGUGGAUAAUUUUUCAGAAAUAUCUCCAAUAUUACUUGUAAAAGGAAUCUUGCAGAUUAAUAAACCAGAUCUUCCUUUGGCAACCGGAGAAUAUUCCUUCACAUUUGGAGUUAUACUUGUGGCAUCGUCUCUACUUACGAGUCUUGGACUUGCAUGGAUGGUAGGAUCAAAGCCAUUAAUUUGGAGUAUUAUUAUUGCUGCAGG